UUUGCUGAUUUAUAUUUUCAUAUCUUUUAUUUUUUAUUUAUUUGUUUAUAUUAUUUUUAUGCCAUUAUUGUAUUUGUUAUCAUUGUUAUUACGACAUUUGCACAUAUAAAAUAACGUUACAUCAUCUUUUACUCGAAUUUAAAAAUAGAAAAUUUUCAAAAUUGAGAUAAUGUUCGUAUUUAGGAUUUUCAAAGAAAUUGAGCCCUAACGUAUU
rnacentral:lncRNA from 1 species